UAGGGAAUCUUCGGCAAUGGACGAAAGUCUGACCGAGCAACGCCGCGUGAGUGAAGAAGGUUUUCGGAUCGUAAAACUCUGUUGUUAGAGAAGAACAAGGACGUCAGUAACUGAACGUCCCCUGACGGUACCUAACCAGAAAGCCACGGCUAACUACGUGCCAGCAGCCGCGGUAAUACGUAGGUGGCAAGGGUUGUCCGGAUUUAUUGGGCGUAAAGCGAGCGCAGGCGGUUUCUUAAGUCUGAUGUGAAAGCCCCCGGCUCAACCGGGGAGGGUCAUUGGAAACUGGGAGACUUGGGAGCAGAAGAGGAGAGGGGAAUUCCAUGUGUAGCGGUGAAAUGCGUAGAUAGAUGAAGGAAAACCAGUGGCGAAGGCGGCUCUCUGGUCUGUAACUAACACUGAGGCUCAAAAGCGUGGGGGGCAAACGGG
rnacentral:rRNA from 1 species